rnacentral:lncRNA from 1 species
ACCUCAGUUUCCUUUCAGGGCUCGAUUUUGGACUUGGGGAAAAGCAUGCUCAGUCCCAAGCCUCCAGGCUCACUGGGCCUGGACAGGAACCACUCUUUAGAUGCUGAGAGCAGCAUCUUCCCAAACAGCUGACUGAUCUGCAGGGGAAAGACAAGCCAGUGUGCCAGGGAUGGAGCAAGUACUGCUCUGCAUCAGCUGCUCCUGGAGGAGAGGGGGAGAACAGCAGCAGUGGUGUUGUGGAUGGUGUGGAAACCAACUUCAGCUCAGGACUUGCAAUGGCUGCUUUCCUGAAGGUUAGAACAAAUGUACGGAAAAGGUAUUUGGAGUUAAGACUUGCCUUAAAAAAAAAAAAACACAGGAAAGCUAAAGCAAGUAUGAAAAUAAAUUAGAAAUGAGGGGCAGAUAAAAGCAGAACCUGCAGGAAUCAAAUCUAAACAAAAAGCAGGGGCUGGGCCGUCCAGUGAGAAAGCCACAAAUGGCAGGGGUUGAAAUGUAAAACCUACAGGCCACUGAGAAACAUGAAAGAUGCUGUUGUGUUCCACACCUCCUUUUCCCGGGUGUAGCUGUCUCCAUACAGUGAAGGGCAGUAAUGAAUCAAGCUCCUUUCCUCUCCUCCUGUGUUUUCUAUUCAAUUAUUCACAGGCUGUGCCAGUUCUGCUUUAUUUCUCCCCUCCAUAUGCUGCACUCUCCUCCUGGGGUUUUCUAUUCUGAGCUAUGCCUUUGGCCUCUCUCCCAUUUCUUUCUCCUCAGCAUGUGCCCCCUGCUCUGCUAUGAUCUGCUGCCUUUGUAACCUCUGCUGUGCACAUAUGCUGGCUCUCCCUCCUUUCCUUGGCUCCUGGUCCGUCGAGUGUCCCUUCGCUUCACACUGAUGUUUUUGCCAGGGGGUCAGCAGCCUGCCAGCAAAGAAACAAUUCUGCUAUGGCCACUGCUUGUGCUUUCACGCUGCCAG